GUGGGGUAGAAGACAAACAGACGUACUAGUAUAACGUUCGAGAAUUCAAAAAGUCUUUAACGUUUCGAGCCUACGCUCUUCCACAGAAAGGAACACAGAAAGAAACAAGGAGAGACACAAGCUGAGAACAAAAAUAAUAGUAGCGGAAUAUACUGACUCAGUACAUACCCUAUCGAUUAUCUAAAGACGAAAUGUAAAUUCGAGCCGGUUAAGAUCUGAACUCAGAGAGUAAACGGACAUUAACUAAUACCGCAAGGGUCGGCGUUUCAUUUCGUCUCUACUCGGAAUUUCUCAACACGUGACACAACUCUGGCAAUGGAAAAGAAAAGAAAUACUGUCGCCUGAUGAGUCUCGCACGUGACGAGAAACUGCAUAGCGGAACGGCGAAGUGAAUCAUCAACUACAA
rnacentral:lncRNA from 1 species